GUUUCAAGUAAAACGAAUCGGUUACGGGUCUUUGCUGUUUUUACGGCCUAAUGGCAAUUGUUUUUGGGAUAAUCGGCACUCUGGCCCCGACCAUCGACUGCGUAAUUGUCAACGACAUUCAUGCUCCUUGUCCGCGUGGACAGGUGAGGGAUUCCAAUGGACAUUGUCGUGCAUGCAAUGGCUGUGGCAAGAAAUAACGGAUGGUCAAAACUAUAGUAGAAUAACACCUGAUAUCAUGAUUAAUCUACCGAGGACAUUGUUACGCUGAAAUUCGCGAAUAUCUUAUGUCGCAGUACAACAGAAGUUCGUUGAGACGAAGCAUGCCAUCAUCGUGUUGGAUGUUCUCUUGUGGUUCAAGCUCCACCGCGGGCUCCACUGCCUUUUAUUUCAUCGAAUUUCUCGACGACAUCUUUAAAAUUACAAUUCAUUUACUUAGUCAUGUGAAACAAUGACCGAUUAAAAAAUGAAAAUUGGAAUGGCUACAAAUGUACGCAAUUGAAAAACGAAACUCACAAUCUUCAGCGGACAUCACAGCGCAACGUUGUUAUUUUUGGAUGAAAUUAUGUAAAAAAAAUCAUAACAACAGUUCGAAAUAUAAAUGAAAUGAUGUCAAAAUUUGA
rnacentral:lncRNA from 1 species